UCAAUUGAUAGUUGUGUGCGUGCUUCCACGGGACGCCUUGCUUAGACCUCCCCCUGGCAUUUUUCACCCAUACUGCACUGCUGCAGUAAAUCUGGUGCCAGAGAGGAAGUGGCUGUGGUCACGGACUCACUGAGACACACGUGAGACUCGCACAGGAACGAGGGGAUCCAGCCGGAUCGGAUUCUGACACACACCGCUCAGAAACAACAUUUAACUAAAGGUCAGAAUGUCCAGCUGUGGAUCCUGCCUCUACUCUAUCGUAUGGCUCAUCAUCCUGUUGGCCCUGGCCUGGCCCCUCAGCAUAUUUCUGGGCGGGCUGUACGGAUUCAUCGCCCCCCUGACCACCUGCGUGGGACUGGACCGCCUCACCGACCUCCUCCUGGAGGGGGCGAACCUGGGGCGCACCUGCGCCCUGAACGUGAGGCACGGGAGGCCGCUGUGCUGAGGGAGCGCCGCGCUCCGGCUCCCGUCUCCAUGGAAACGCCUUUCCCCUGCACAGACGCCAGCGAAGACGAACUCUGCGCAUUUUGACGUCCAUUCUUAGGUACCGAGAUCAUUCAUUGUUCAUCUGAAACUCUACAGACUGCUCCAAACGCGAACACCCCUUAUCAACAUUAAUGGCGCAUAUCGACAUACAAACCUUAUUCAUGCUUUUUACAACUUUGAAUGACAUUUCUUGUACUCAUGCUGUUUUGUUUUAAAUGAAAAUCGUUUAUUUACCUAUAGUGAAGAUAUCUGUUAGUUAGAACAAGAAGUUGUACAACUUCUAAAGAAAAUAGACAUGGCACUUUAUGCUGAAAGGGCUUUAAAACAAAUGUCUCAUAUGCUGUACAUUUAUUUAGGGUGUACAUGAAUAUUCAUCUUACUGAAACACGCAAAUUAUAUAUAAACUGCAGGUUAGUAAACACUGUUAGGUGAAAGUAAGUGGUGUUACCCUAACUAUAGUUAUGACUGAAGUGUUGAGGAAAGAUUUCAGAAAUUGUUAAUGUUAAAACGAAAAUAAAGAAGCAUUUGUAACUGAUGAA